CCCCGAGGAAAAGAAAUCAACCGAGAUUCCCCCAGUAGCGGCGAGCGAACGGGGAGCAGCCCAGAGCCUGAAUCAGUGUGUGUGUUAGUGGAAGCGUCUGGAAAGGCGUGCGAUACAGGGUGACAGCCCCGUACACAAAAAUGCACAUAUUGUGAGCUCGAUGAGUAGGGCGGGACACGUGGUAUCCUGUCUGAAUAUGGGGGGACCAUCCUCCAAGGCUAAAUACUCCUGACUGACCGAUAGUGAACCAGUACCGUGAGGGAAAGGCGAAAAGAACCCCGGCGAGGGGAGUGAAAAAGAACCUGAAACCGUGUACGUACAAGCAGUGGGAGCACGCUUAGGCGUGUGACUGCGUACCUUUUGUAUAAUGGGUCAGCGACUUAUAUUCUGUAGCAAGGUUAACCGAAUAGGGGAGCCGAAGGGAAACCGAGUCUUAACUGGGCGUUAAGUUGCAGGGUAUAGACCCGAAACCCGGUGAUCUAGCCAUGGGCAGGUUGAAGGUUGGGUAACACUAACUGGAGGACCGAACCGACUAAUGUUGAAAAAUUAGCGGAUGACUUGUGGCUGGGGGUGAAAGGCCAAUCAAACCGGGAGAUAGCUGGUUCUCCCCGAAAGCUAUUUAGGUAGCGCCUCGUGAAUUCAUCUCCGGGGGUAGAGCACUGUUUCGGCAAGGGGGUCAUCCCGACUUACCAACCCGAUGCAAACUGCGAAUACCGGAGAAUGUUAUCACGGGAGACACACGGCGGGUGCUAACGUCCGUCGUGAAGAGGGAAACAACCCAGACCGCCAGCUAAGGUCCCAAAGUCAUGGUUAAGUGGGAAACGAUGUGGGAAGGCCCAGACAGCCAGGAUGUUGGCUUAGAAGCAGCCAUCAUUUAAAGAAAGCGUAAUAGCUCACUGGUCGAGUCGGCCUGCGCGGAAGAUGUAACGGGGCUAAACCAUGCACCGAAGCUGCGGCAGCGACGCUGAUGCGUUGUUGGGUAGGGGAGCGUUCUGUAAGCCUGUGAAGGUGUGCUGUGAGGUAUGCUGGAGGUAUCAGAAGUGCGAAUGCUGACAUAAGUAACGAUAAAGCGGGUGAAAAGCCCGCUCGCCGGAAGACCAAGGGUUCCUGUCCAACGUUAAUCGGGGCAGGGUGAGUCGACCCCUAAGGCGAGGCCGAAAGGCGUAGUCGAUGGGAAACAGGUUAAUAUUCCUGUACUUGGUGUUACUGCGAAGGGGGGACGGAGAAGGCUAUGUUGGCCGGGCGACGGUUGUCCCGGUUUAAGCGUGUAGGCUGGUUUUCCAGGCAAAUCCGGAAAACUAAGGCUGAGGCGUGAUGACGAGGCACUACGGUGCUGAAGCAACAAAUGCCCUGCUUCCAGGAAAAGCCUCUAAGCAUCAGGUAACAUCAAAUCGUACCCCAAACCGACACAGGUGGUCAGGUAGAGAAUACCAAGGCGCUUGAGAGAACUCGGGUGAAGGAACUAGGCAAAAUGGUGCCGUAACUUCGGGAGAAGGCACGCUGAUAUGUAGGUGAAGUCCCUCGCGGAUGGAGCUGAAAUCAGUCGAAGAUACCAGCUGGCUGCAACUGUUUAUUAAAAACACAGCACUGUGCAAACACGAAAGUGGACGUAUACGGUGUGACGCCUGCCCGGUGCCGGAAGGUUAAUUGAUGGGGUCAGCGCAAGCGAAGCUCUUGAUCGAAGCCCCGGUAAACGGCGGCCGUAACUAUAACGGUCCUAAGGUAGCGAAAUUCCUUGUCGGGUAAGUUCCGACCUGCACGAAUGGCGUAAUGAUGGCCAGGCUGUCUCCACCCGAGACUCAGUGAAAUUGAACUCGCUGUGAAGAUGCAGUGUACCCGCGGCAAGACGGAAAGACCCCGUGAACCUUUACUAUAGCUUGACACUGAACAUUGAGCCUUGAUGUGUAGGAUAGGUGGGAGGCUUUGAAGUGUGGACGCCAGUCUGCAUGGAGCCGACCUUGAAAUACCACCCUUUAAUGUUUGAUGUUCUAACGUUGACCCGUAAUCCGGGUUGCGGACAGUGUCUGGUGGGUAGUUUGACUGGGGCGGUCUCCUCCUAAAGAGUAACGGAGGAGCACGAAGGUUGGCUAAUCCUGGUCGGACAUCAGGAGGUUAGUGCAAUGGCAUAAGCCAGCUUGACUGCGAGCGUGACGGCGCGAGCAGGUGCGAAAGCAGGUCAUAGUGAUCCGGUGGUUCUGAAUGGAAGGGCCAUCGCUCAACGGAUAAAAGGUACUCCGGGGAUAACAGGCUGAUACCGCCCAAGAGUUCAUAUCGACGGCGGUGUUUGGCACCUCGAUGUCGGCUCAUCACAUCCUGGGGCUGAAGUAGGUCCCAAGGGUAUGGCUGUUCGCCAUUUAAAGUGGUACGCGAGCUGGGUUUAGAACGUCGUGAGACAGUUCGGUCCCUAUCUGCCGUGGGCGCUGGAGAACUGAGGGGGGCUGCUCCUAGUACGAGAGGACCGGAGUGGACGCAUCACUGGUGUUCGGGUUGUCAUGCCAAUGGCACUGCCCGGUAGCUAAAUGCGGAAGAGAUAAGUGCUGAAAGCAUCUAAGCACGAAACUUGCCCCGAGAUGAGUUCUCCCUGACUCCUUGAGAGUCCUGAAGGAACGUUGAAGACGACGACGUUGAUAGGCCGGGUGUGUAAGCGCAGCGAUGCGUUGAGCUAACCGGUACUAAUGAACCGUGAGGCUUAACCUUACAACGCCGAAGGUGUUU
rnacentral:rRNA from 1 species